UACGUAGGGUGCGAGCGUUGUCCGGAAUUAUUGGGCGUAAAGGGCUCGUAGGCGGUCUGUUGCGUCAGGAGUGAAAACUCGGGGCUUAACCCCGAGCCUGCUUCUGAUACGGGCAGACUAGAGGUAUGCAGGGGAGAACGGAAUUCCUGGUGUAGCGGUGAAAUGCGUAGAUAUCUGGAGGAACACCGGUGGCGAAGGCGACGUCCUGGACCAACACUGACACUGAUGAGCGAAAGCCAGGGGAGCAAACGGG
rnacentral:rRNA from 1 species